AUGGCUCAGGAUGAACGCUAGCUACAGGCUAACACAUGCAAGUCGAGGGGCAGCAUUGGAGUAGCAAUACUCAGAUGGCGACCGGCGCACGGGUGAGUAACACGUAUCCAACCUGCCGCUUACUCGGGGAUAGCCUUUCGAAAGAAAGAUUAAUACCCGAUGGUAUAAAGAGUUCGCAUGUUCUCUUUAUUAAAGAAUUUCGGUAAGCGAUGGGGAUGCGUUCCAUUAGAUAGUUGGCGGGGUAACGGCCCACCAAGUCUACGAUGGAUAGGGGGUUCUGAGAGGAAGGUCCCCCACAUUGGAACUGAGACACGGUCCAAACUCCUACGGGAGGCAGCAGUGAGGAAUAUUGGUCAAUGGACGAGAGUCUGAACCAGCCAAAAGUAGCGUGAAGGAUGACUGCCCUAUGGGUUGUAAACUUCUUUUAUAAGGGAAUAAAGUGAGGGACGUGUCCCUUUUUGUAUGUACCUUAUGAAUAAGGAUCGGCUAACUCCGUGCCAGCCGCCGC
rnacentral:rRNA from 1 species